AGGCAGUGAUGACAAACUACAUUUCUCGAAUCUGAAACUGUGUGCUAAAUCACAGUGGAUCAAAGUUACCUGAUGACUGCGUUUGUGCGUGUCUGAGCCUU